UGUUCUCAGGGCAGGGUGAAAGUCCCUACCGGCGGUAAGAACAAAGGUGUUUAAGCCCGCGAGCGCUUGUAGAAAUGCAAGGUCAGCAGAUUUGGUGAGAUUCCAAGGCCGACGGUCAUAGUCCGGAUGGAAGAGAACA
rnacentral:ncRNA from 1 species